GCCGAAAUACUCGUAGCUCAGUUGGGAGCGCGUCGGACUAUAGACCAAAAGUCCCUGGUUCGAUCCCGGGUUUCGACA
rnacentral:tRNA from 1 species